UGUAACUGUAAGUCUGGCGCUCGCGAACGCACACGAGUGCAGCUUGGAAAGUGCAGAAGAAUCCGCGAGAAGUUCGAGCUGGAAGUUUAUUCCGAGUGGCGUGGAACUUCAGGAAUGACGGGUGGAAUCUACACUUGGUUGCGAAUGAAAAGCAUUGUGGACAUUGUAGGCUUGCUCACGUUAGAUUUACGAGCAUUCUGCGCUCACGACCGCCCCGGCUCAUAUAUCAUGCAUUUCAGGUUGUGCUUGCAAUAAAAAUAUUACGUAUACGUCAGCGAGGUGUCAACAAACUUGUAAUGUGGCACAGUCCGAUUCAAUCGCCGGCCCCCAGGUGCGAUCAGAAUGGAAUAGCCGCUGGAGUUGCAAAUGUAUGGACAACCUACGGUUAUGAUGGUUAUAUAAUGCUGGCGCGGUUCCACCCCACCAACGUAAGAAAUGGAAACAAGAACCGCUGCACUCGGUUCCGACUCGACUCGACUUGACUUGACUUUGACCGGUCGGUCAAUUUAGCUGCAGUUAAGCAGUCGAGCGGGCUAAUUGCCGCUUUCAGAUCUAAAUGAGCGGCGCACACGCAAAUGAUAGAAAUGGAAACACGGGUCGGCAGUCGGGCACACAUUGUAAGGAAAUGCCAGGCACAAGCUGGGAUCGAGAUUCGGAUCUUGGAUCUCGGAUCUCGGAUUUGCCCCGCGACUCGGGCACUUCCUCAGAGCCUCGCAAAGGUCAGAGCAGAGCGAAGCGAAAACGAUCUGCAGAUGUAUCUCGGUUCGUGACUCUGACUCGUGAUGGGCACUUAGGAAAUCCAGAUAUAACCGAUGCCAUUUAGAGAGACGCGCCGCAACAUAAAUAGCAAUUCCAAACAAUUUUCAAUUGCCAAACGCCCGAGUCGGCGGCUUUUCUCUCCCCGCAGCCGUCGUCGCCAAACGAGUUUCCACUGUAAUUGAAACUAGAUCUAUUUUUAGACCCAGUCCGGACGACAGACGCUAGCCCAGAAAGUAUUGCAAAGCCCCGACUCACUCACACUUAGCCCCAAUCGACCGCAAACGAUCAAUCGAUCGAUCCGUGGAUCGUGGAUGGGCUUAUGUGGCCAUAAAAUCCCACGCAAAAUGAUAGUGUCGUUUUGGUUGGGACAUGGUUCUGGUACCGCUGGGUGCUAGCGGGAUCACAAAGAUUUAUCUCUUAUUUACCGGAACUACAGUUAAUGUCAGCAUUAAAAAAAUACUUUUGAAAAAUGAA